UACGUAGGGUGCAAGCGUUAAUCGGAAUUACUGGGCGUAAAGCGUGCGCAGGCGGUUUUGUAAGGCUGUUGGGAAAUCCCCGGGCUCAACCUGGGAAUGGCGAUGGAGACUGCAAGGCUAGAGUUUGGCAGAGGGGGGUAGAAUUCCACGUGUAGCAGUGAAAUGCGUAGAUAUGUGGAGGAACACCGAUGGCGAAGGCAGCCCCCUGGGUCAAAACUGACGCUCAUGCACGAAAGCGUGGGGAGCAAACAGG
rnacentral:rRNA from 1 species